UACAGGAGAGCAAGUGGGAAAAGUCACCUGUCAAAUCCUGAACCCUCUGCUGCAGGUGGAGAAGGAAACUACUGUGCUCCUCUCAGGUGCAUCUCAGUGGGUCUCUGCUUCCUGGAUACAACUCCCUUUAUUCCUUCUCACAUUGGCUGCUGGUGCUGUUCUUGUAUUUCAAGG